rnacentral:rRNA from 1 species
UACAGAGGGUGCAAGCGUUGUUCGGAAUUACUGGGCGUAAAGCGCGUGUAGGCGGCGUGGUAAGUCCUGUGUGAAAGCCCUGGGCUCAACCCAGGAAGUGCGCAGGAUACUGUCAUGCUGGAGUAGCGGAGAGGAUGGCGGAAUUCCCGGUGUAGAGGUGAAAUUCGUAGAUAUCGGGAGGAACACCUGUGGCGAAGGCGGCCCACUGGGUCUCAUCUGACGCUGAGGAACGAAAGCUAGGGUAGCGAACGGG